rnacentral:rRNA from 1 species
GCGGCGUGCCUAAUACAUGCAAGUCGAGCGAACUGAUUAGAAGCUUGCUUCUAUGACGUUAGCGGCGGACGGGUGAGUAACACGAUGGGCAACCUGCCUGUAAGACUGGGAUAACUUCGGGAAACCGAAGCUAAUACCGGAUAGGAUCUUCUCCUUCAUGAGAGAUGAUUGAAAGAUGGUUUCGGCUAUCACUUACAGAUGGGCCCGCGGUGCAUUAGCUAGUUGGUGAGGUAACGGCUCACCAAGGCAACGAUGCAUAGCCGACCUGAGAGGGUGAUCGGCCACACUGGGACUGAGACACGGCCCAGACUCCUACGGGAGGCAGCAGUAGGGAAUCUUCCGCAAUGGACGAAAGUCUGACGGAGCAACGCCGCGUGAGUGAUGAAGGCUUUCGGGUCGUAAAACUCUGUUGUUAGGGAAGAACAAGUACGAGAGUAACUGCUCGUACCUUGACGGUACCUAACCAGAAAGCCACGGCUAACUACGUGCCAGCAGCCGCGGUAAUACGUAAGUGGCAAGCGUUAUCCGGAAUUAUUGGGCGUAAAGCGCGCGCAGGCGGUUUCUUAAGUCUGAUGUGAAAGCCCACGGCUCAACCGUGGAGGGUCAUUGGAAACUGGGGAACUUGAGUGCAGAAGAGAAAAGCGGAAUUCCACGUGUAGCGGUGAAAUGCGUAGAGAU